CCGGAUCCGGCACCGCUUUGACGUACUGCACGGUCCGCGCCACGGGCUCCGGGUUUCUCCGGUACAGGAGUGCGAGCUGUAACAGCACGGUUAUCACCGCCCCCGUAAACGCUGAAAUUAAAAUCAAACUUCUCCACAAUGGUGUACUUUCAACCCCGGAUACAAUCAGACAGAUACGUCUUCUAACUUCUGAAAACACACUAGAGUGUGAUGUACUGGGGAGGCUCAACUGGAAAUUCCUUGUGUAUUGGGCCAAUAUUGGCAAUAGAGCCAAUUUCAAAACAGCUCUGCCAACAUGGACUGAGGUUGGCACAGAAGAACAGCUGACUUUCAAGCCAAAAUUCAUGGAUUUAAAAGUGGCUUAAAGUCCAUUGGGUCUUGGGGCCAAACAUUUGCCUGACAGACAAUGCUGUUAAUCCAACAUUAUCUUCAAAUUAGUGCACUUUUUGGGACACUAGUUCAGGUUACCUGCAGCAUUCUAAUUUUCCCAAAAGGUCUACGUUGCUUUUUUACACACAAGCAGACUGCUUUAUCCUCACAGUCAAACAUGGAGGUGGAACUUCACCAUACAACAAGACAAUGACCAGAUGCGUACGUCCGAGCUCUGUAAGCAUUAUUUAGAGAGGAAACGGUGGGCUGGAUUGAUGGCUGCUCAGUCACUGCACUUAAAUCCUAAUGAACUGCUCUGGGAAGAACUGGAGGUCAGAAAGAAAUCUCCAACUAGUGAAGAACACCUCUGGCAGGUUUUACACAGCAAAAUAUUUCAGCUGAACCUUUAGAGAAAGGAACUUGCCGAGAGCGUGUAAAUCUGUUAUUCAUGCUGAAGGAGGAUAUUUCACUUAGAAUAAAGUGGAACAUCUGGACAUUUAUAUCCAAAGUGAUCAUUAUAAUAUCAAAUGACCUGGUGUGUUGCAUAGAAUUAAACAGGCAUGUGUCUCUCAAAAGUCUUAAAAGACUAGGAAUUAUUAUUAGACAUUUAAAUAGUGAUGGUAUAUUAGAUUGCACACAAUUUAAUUAGUAAAUAUUGAGUCAGAAAGUUUGAUUUGGAAGGUUUCUCUGCUACUAAAUUAAUU